CCUGGUUGAUCCUGCCAGUAGUCAUAUGCUUGUCUCAAAGAUUAAGCCAUGCAUGUCUAAGUACACGCCCUAGCAAGGCGAAACCGCGAAUGGCUCAUUAAAUCAGUUAUGGUUCCUUAGAUCGUACACAUUUACUUGGAUAACUGUGGUAAUUCUAGAGCUAAUACAUGCAAUUGAGCCCUCGUCCCUUUUAGGGUGAGGGUGCUUUUAUUAGACCAAGACCAAACGGGGGCAACUCCGAUAGUCGUGGUGACUCUGAAUAACUAUGGCGGAUCGCACAGUCCUAGCACUGGCGACGCAUCUUUCAAGUGUCUGCCUUAUCAACUUUCGAUGGUAGGUUAUGCGCCUACCAUGGUUGUUAAGGGUAACGGGGAAUCAGGGUUCGAUUCCGGAGAGGGAGCCUGAGAAACGGCUACCACAUCCAAGGAAGGCAGCAGGCGCGCAAAUUACCCACUCCCGGCACGGGGAGGUAGUGACGAAAAAUAACAAUACGGGACUCUAACGAGGCUCCGUAAUUGGAAUGAGUACACUCUAAACCUUUUAACGAGGAUCUAUUGGAGGGCAAGUCUAGUGCCAGCAGCCGCGGUAACUCUAGCUCCAAUAGCGUAUAUUAAAGUUGUUGCGGUUAAAAAGCUCGUAGUUGGAUCUCAGUCGCGUUCCCUUCGAUGCGUUGCAAAGCGUCUAUCGUUGGGGCCUACAGCACGUUGGUGGGCCCGGUUGGCUUUUACCGGUUGAUCGGGUUCUCCGGCAAUUUUACUUUGAAAAAAUUAGGAUGCUCAAAGCAGGCUGGUGCCUGGAUAUUGGUGCAUGGAAUAAUGGUACAGCCUGCUCCACGCUGACAAGGGCCAAACAGCCCGAAAAUGUUCGUG
rnacentral:rRNA from 1 species